CCCAAAUUGAGGUCUUAUAACUGUAUGUUAUCGUUGAGAAGCGAUGGUGACAUCCGAAAAUACUGCCAUUUAACCGUAUGUUACCGUUGGGAAGUGAUGGCGACAUCCCAAAAUACCGCUAUAGACUAUCAAAUGUGCAUAAAAGAGGAGAAAUUGGAAGGUCGAGGUUGUCGAUACUUUGUUCAUCGGUGAGGGAUUUGGAGGAACCGACGGUGGAAGUUGCCGUUGUGGAUGCGGUGCUGGAAGCGGAGGGGUUAGAUUUGGUGGAAGUGGCGCUGGCGGUGGAGGAGGAUGUGUUGGAUUGUCGCGAGAUUUAGGUUCGAGUUCUCGUUUUCUUGUUCGCGAAACUUUUGUUCAAUAUCGGAGCUUUUCAACACUCGCUUGCAGCCGGUUUUUUUGAUAAGUUAUUCUUUGACAAGAUCUAUCUAGGGUUUGGUUAUGGUUAUCUUCGAGGCUUGAUCUGAGAUCCAUUAAGUCCAAACCAAAAGCGAGACCUAAAUGGCUCAAUCUUGUCCACGUGGGUCCACAGUUCGAAUCCAAAGAACCUAAUAUACUUGCAGCCUAAUGCGACCUUUCAAGUUUGAAGUUUGGACCACCGUUCCUGCGGUCCGAGACAGAUAGAUGACGACGAUACCCCGAUUUUGCUGCAACGAUCUUCUUCGUUUCGCUCCCGUCAAUCUCGACCACUUAACAGAACCUUUAAUAUGUUAUUCUACAUGACGUAUUUAGCUCGAUCGCUGGAUUAUUUUCAUAUAGCUGAAAGCCCCGGCAAACAAAUUAUGGGUUACAUGACAAAACAUAUUUUGUGGAUUUUUUUGUGUGGGCUUCUAAAACACCUGUCAUAAAGAUGUAUGAAAAGAUUAGCUGUUACUGAUGGAACUGAAUUAAUGAGAAGAAGAUAGAAGAAGCUAGAAGAAAUAGACCAGAGAAUUAGAGAGAAUCAGAGAUAGUGGAAGCAGAAUUUUGUGAUAUUUUCAUUAUAAUUGUGACUGUUACAUAGCAUUUCCUAUAUAUAGCACAACACGCGCUUCAAUUUAGUGUAACAGAAUUAUAAUUGCUAAUAAAGUAAUUUGAUACCUGCUAUAACAGGAUGCUUUACAGCAAACACUUCUGCUCCUUUGUCUUUAUCAUCCUGAUCAGCUUCAUUUCCAGCUGUCAGCUUCCUCUCCAGCUUAGUUCUUUCUUCCAUCAGCUUGGCUUUUUCCUUUACCAGCUAGGCUUCUCUUCCUUUCAGCUUCUUUGCACCAUUUUUCAGCACUAAUUCCCACCUCCCUGCUAAAGCCUUCCUUCAUUACUGUUCUAAUGUUUCUGCCAAUCAAGUUCAUCACAGUAUAUUGAUGCAAGGUUUCGUGUAUUGUGAUCUUAAAUAAAGAUUGCAUGAUGAACUUUAUUUAUAUUUUCUGACAUCUUCAAUUUCUUUUUCAUUCUGAUACUUUUUUAUUUUUCUUUCUUUUUUCUUUUUGAAACUUUCAAACAUGUACAAACAAUCAUAUCUCCUCUUCUCUCUUGCAUUAAUUUUAUUUGGAAUCCCCAAAUAUGUAAUUGAUGACACCUUUUGAUAAAUAAUAUUAGGAGGAAUGAGAAGUAUCAUCUUUAAGGUGUGAAUAAAAUUAACUUAGACUACUACUCUAAUGAUUAGAACUUUUAUAUUUCACAUCGUAAAGGAUGCAGCUGUAUAUGCAUUGCUUGAAUAUGUUCUCGAGUGAACCCUCCACUCUGUUUCCAUGUCUUUGAUGUAAUUUGUAUUUUAUUUUAAAAAAGGUCUGUCCAAUGUCUUAGAUGUGGUGGGAGGAGAUAUGUUUUUUCAAGUUAACCUUUCUGCUUGGUAUAUGGUAUUAGUUGUUCUUUUCAUUUUCUAAAUUAAGUUUGGCCUCAUUAUUUAGGAUGCCGCUUUUCAGUCUUCUCAGUAAGUCUAUCUCAUCAUACUGUGUCUUUUUGUUGCAACCGCCAAAUGCUGGACGGUUUGUAUGCUGCUUAUUAAUUUAUUGUAAAGCAAGGGAACUGCUUUUGCUGGUAAGGGUUGAAUUUCUAAAACUCCUUUUUUCUUUAAUUCAAAACUCUGUCCCUUUUUGUUAGAUUUUGAUUAAAAUGUUGGCCGUACUUUAUCCAUUUUUUCCCUUUCAUGUUAGCAGAAAUGAAGUGUUGGGUUGUUAAGUUUGGAAGGGAACUCCUUAUAUAAAAAAAGUCUGCUGAUGCUGGGAAAUUUAAAUUGAAAAACUCAUUCUAUUGUCAACAAGUUAUCCAAACUAUAUUCAUUUGGUCAAAAGGGCAUUUGAAUAGAUUAUUUUUCAUCACUCUUAGUUACUUUCAGACCGGUAAGGGGAACGAAUUUUCUGCCUACGGCAUAAAAUUUGCGUUUGCCGAAUGGGGGGCACUUUCUCCCAAAAAUGUUUCAUACCUUCACCCUAUUUCUCCUUUUCAUUUCAUCUUUUUGAGUUGCUCUGACAAUAUUGUGUCAUAACAUUGUUGAUCGGCUUGGCUGCCAUGUUCGUCAAUCGCCUCAAGUUAUA